rnacentral:rRNA from 1 species
UACGUAGGGGGCAAGCGUUGUCCGGAUUUAUUGGGCGUAAAGAGCGUGUAGGCGGCCAGAUAGGUCCGUUGUGAAAACUCGAGGCUCAACCUCGAGACGCCGAUGGAAACCAUUUGGCUAGAGUCCGGAAGAGGAGAGUGGAAUUCCUGGUGUAGCGGUGAAAUGCGGAGAUAUCAGGAAGAACACCCGUGGCUAAGGCGGCUCUCUAGUACGGUACUGACGCUGAGACGCGAAAGCGUGGGGAGCGAACAGG